UAUAUGGGUAGGGACGGCCCUGCCUGCAGGGGAAGGAGUGGAGGAUAGGCAUUGUAAAGUGACAACUUAAUUUCCUUAAUUUUGUUUAUUUGCAUGUAGCCACCUCAGAUGUUACACUACAAACUUCGUGUGUAUUAAUUUGUAGGUAAGGGGCUACAUCUUGUAUGAUAACUAACCAUUAUCACUUAUUACCAAAAAGAUAUGGCCAUCCUGGUGAGCAUUUUUCCAGUUCUCCUUUGGACAAUGAUGGCAUUUCAGGCAGACUUAUUGCAAGCUAAAGGAAUUCAGGUUCUCUCACCUGUUAACUUCACUCUCACAGUCUCUGCACUAGCAGAAGUACUUUUGCAAUGGAAACCAAACCCUGAUCAAGAAGAAAAGAACUACACUGUUAGAUAUGAUGUGGAAAUUAUGACUCCUGAGUGGGAAGUGUAUGAUACGAAGAAAACUUGCAGUACCCGUAUGGCUGUGCUUCAUAAUGGUUUUUCUGCACGUAUUCGGACAUUGCUUCUCUAUAACAACUCGCAAAUAAAAAGUAACUGGGCUACAGCUAAACUCCAAGCCCCACCAGGUGCUGUUGAGACAUCAGUCACUAACUUGUCCUGUGUGAUUUACACUGCCAUUAAUAAUACUGCAUCUCUUCACUGCACCUGGUUUGCUGGCAAAGCGGCGCCAGAAGAUACAAAAUACUUUCUAUUUUACAGGUAUAACAACUACACUGAAGAAUGCCAAGAAUAUAGUAAAGACAAAUGGGAGAGAAAUAUUGGUUGCCGAUUUUCAAACACUUACAUAAAGACUAGUGAAACUGACAAACGCAUCGUAAUACACAUUAAUGGGUCAAGCAAUGGCACUGCAAUCAAACCUUUUGAACAGAUAUUUAAUCAAAAUGCCAUUCAGAAAGUGAAUCCUCCUAGAAAUGUCACCGUGUCUUUAAAACAAAACAACCUUCUGGUCAAGUGGGAAAUGCCAGCUUCUUCUUUCCUAAAGGAAUGUUUUAAAUAUGAACUUAACAUCUACAACUGGAAGAUGGGUUACAAACAGAUAUUGGAAACCGAGUUAAAUAGUUUCAGUUUAAGGAUUGAUGACACCUGCAGAUACUCCAUACAGAUUAGAGCUAAUCAUCAAUCAUGGUGUAGGGAAGGAUUUUGGAGUGAUUGGACCGAACCUCUUUAUAUUGGAAAAAACCAGCCAAGGACUCCUGUAGACUCCAAGACCUACGCGGUUCUCAUUGCGCUUAUAGUAUCCAUAUGUUCCAUGGCAUUGCUUAUUGCUAUAAUAUGCAGAAAGUAUCAUGUAUGGAGCAGACUAUUUCCACCAAUUCCAACACCCCAAAACAGUUUAAAAAAUCUGUUUUUAACUAAAAGCUAUCAGAUCUCAAUGCAUUUUACCAAGGAGGGAAAGUAUCGUCACUUUACAAAAGGGUGAAAAUCUGGUCCCACUGAAGUUAUGGCAAAAUCCCCACUGAAGUCAGUGAGACCAGGAUUGUACAGGACUUGUCCAAGGUUACGGCAGGCCAGUGGCCAAGCCAGGAAUAGAACCCCAAGUCUUUUGUAUGUUGGUACGGUGCACCACACUGCUCCUCUCGGAGCCUUAUUAGCUCUGCAGUGCUAACAGGACAGAGUUAAAAAAGAGAGCACGUACCUAUACCAGUGAAACGGAAACAGAAGUCGGAAGUUGCUUUGAAGAUCUUGGAAGUUAUAUUGAAGACCUUUAUUCCGAUGUCCUCGAAGAUUCAUAAUCUGAAAUAUUACUCCAUUCAUGAUCUUGAAAUUAACAGGAGUGUUACUGCACGUGACAACAGCUUAGUUGGAUAAACCUUCAGGUCAUACCAUCAUCAGUGCUUCAAAGACAGAAAAAUGUGUUGCUUCCAAGAGGUUAAAUUGCUUAAUUACAAACUAACACAUAUGAAUGUCACUUUUUAAGAAAAAAGUGAGUACAUUCUGUGAUGCUCUGUGCCUCGGGUGGACACCCUACACCCACAUGUUCAUCUUUAUAAAACAAUUGUGUGGUAUCCAGUGCAAAGUUUGUCAUGUUGGGUAUCUUCAGAAGCCUCCUAAUGCACUGAAGAUGGUUGUUAUAGUGAUGUUAUAGGUUAUAAUUUUAUGUAUAUAGUUAUGAGGCUGAAAAUGUAUCCUUAUGGCUUAAAGCAAGCCCGCGUAAAAUCUCUCCAAGAACAGGGAGGCAGUUCACACCGCAUCAGGGCAUGGAUGGGACAGCCCAGCCUCACAGGAAUAAUGGACACUGGCUCAAGCAGCAACAAAAGAAUCUGUUAGACCCUUGAGGGAGUCAACCCCUUCUUUGGGCAGUUUGGGACUGCAAUGAGAUAAUGAUCACCUGACUCUGAAGGGGGGAUGGGCAGGCAAAGCCAAGAGGAAAGAAAGGACACGAUAAAAGGGAGAGAUUUUGUGCCACGUUUUCUCUCUUCCACCUACAUCUACAGACACCAACAUCACCAACCGACUGAAACGCUGAUCAAAGGGGAGAGCCUGACUGAAAAGCCAGCCUGUGGUGAGAAGCAUCUAAGUUUUUAAGGACACUGAAAGUGUUAAGAUCAGCUUAGAAUGUGUUGCUUUUAUUUCAUUUGACCAAAUCUGACUUGUUAUGCUUUGACUUAUAAUCACUUAAAUCUAACUUUAUAGUUAAUAAAUCUGUUUGUUUAUUCUACCUGAAGCAGUGCAUUUGGUUUGCAGUGUGUCAGAGACUCUCCUUGGCCAAAUGGAACUACUCCUGUAAGAGUGGGCUGAAGAACUCGUCUCUAUUGCUGCUUUUGUUCUCCGAUAACUGGCAUAUUUUUGUUCCUAGGACCAUAUGUUCUGAGGAAGGGGUUAGGGAGCUAUCACACUGAUACAAAUCACAUUUGAGACUUUGCUCUUUAUGAGCUCAGGUGGGACAGGAGCAGAAAGACUCAACAAUCAAAAUACAGUGAAAGAACUUUUUCAAGAGGUGAUGGCUCGAUCUGUGUUUUGUUAUGCAAGUCCCUUGCCCUCCACUCCCUUUUUAGAAACUCACCUUUUCCCAGACAAACAACCCCCCACAUGGAACUAAAUGAUGAUACAUCCUUUGUUGCCGUAGCUGUUCCAAUAUCUGGUACUAUGAACUCCUCCCUCCAGCCUUCCCUUUUUUAAUAUUAAUUCCCUUAGCAUCCUAUGUUUGUUGAACUCAUCUUCAGUUGUAAGCUUCUAAGUUUGCAAGACCUGUGUCUUAAUAUCUGUAAAGUGUAAUUGAUAUCAGUGGAAGUAUAAACAAAUACUAACAAGUUAUGGAUAAGGGAGCAUCCGAACUACCUAAUUAGGCAAACUACCCAGAGAUUUAAUUUAAAAUGUGGAUUUUCUUCCUUUGGGGGGGGGGAUUAGAACUGCUUUAAUGGUGUGUGAGAUUUGAUGUGCAGAACUCUGUUUCAUAGUAUUUAACCAGAGGUCAAACAUGAGGGCCUGAUUCUCCAUUACCUUGUGCAGUUAGUUACAGUACUGCAAAAUGGCUGUAAAACUUUGUAUUUGCAUUCUUUUUGCACUGCUGUAAUUGAUUAAACAGGUGCAGAAUAAUGGCAGCUCAGGCUGAGACUGAACAAGGUGCAGGAUAUGGCAGCUCAGGCUCAUCUGGUCUUCUUAAAUUACAAUUGCAAGAGUUUGUAAACUGGGAGGUCACGAGAGACUGAUUUUGAAGAGGUUAGUUACCUUCUGUGGCAUCCAAAAUAGGCUGCUUACUUUGCAUAUGCAAUUGAUAACUGCACGUGCAAAUUAGCUUUUUGCAUGCACAACUAGUCAGACUUAUAAGCGAUCAUUAGCAUUCAGAUAAUUCAUUGCUUCUGCAAUCAAUGCGACCUCGGAUGUUAUGCAUCAGGAUUAUAGCUUUGUGCUCUGCAAUGCUAUCAGUGUGCCAAAUUCAAACACUGAGUGAAUUCAAGCAUUUAGGGCAACAUCUAUAAAGUUCAACAGAAAACUAACAAAAGUCACACAUUCACACGUAAACAGGAAGCCAACAAAUUCUUGGUAGCCUUUCAAACAUUAUGAAAUGAUUAGUCUAUCAGCAUCAAGCCCAUCUGUACUACGUGCCGUCUACAGACAGGGCCGAGCGCAUUGUCAGCACUUAAAUCGUCAGAAUUACUUUGAAAAUCCUGCUUGUGAAAAUAUGGGAGUUGCAUAGAAAUUCCAGCGCAGAGAAAUAUUAUUGCUCUUGGCUGGGAUUUCUGAACAAGCCAAAAGGAGUUAGGCCCCCAACUCCCCAUUAAUUUCAGCUCCCUUAGGAUCCUUGAGAAUUCCAGCCUUAAUCAAUUGGAUGUUCUGGUAUUGCCUACAUUGUACACUACACAUUUCAGCUCUCAGUUGCACCAGUCCAACCCCAAUGAAGCAGAGUUUAAACCAGUGUUUCUUCUUUUAGUUUACUCUUGUUGCCUCCCUUGCAAUCUGUAUGCUUGCCUUGUGUAAUCCACAGCGCACACUGUAAAAUAAACCUGCAUCUCAGAACCAUGCAGGCAAUUUUGUCUUGAAAGGGAACUUGUUUUGCUGAUGCUCAUGAGAUGCGGUGACUUGUGCAGAGUUUCUCCUAAUAUUGUCAGGAAGUUAGUGCCACGACUGUCUAGUCCUGUUGUUAAAAGGUGCCUGGUAAGGCAACUCCCAUAUUUUCAUAUGCUGUGUAUUUAUACCUCUCUACUGUAUUUUCCUCUCCAUGCAUCUGAUGAAGUGGAUUGUAGCCCACAAAAGCUUAUGCCCAAAUAAAUUUGUUAGUCUCUAAGGUGCCACAAGGAUUCCUCAUUUUUUUUACUUUAAUUAGCCAGUUCCCAAACUGGUGUAAAUUGGUAUGACUCCUUUGAAUUUUUGUGCCUAAAAAUCUCCCUUCGGGUGAUUUUAGUGGAUCUGAGGAGCCAAGAUAUAACAGCUUAAAAGCAGAGUGUAUUAGAUCAACAGAAGCUUAAAAUGGAAACAGAGGAGAAUACAUUUGCUAUUGACGUAUUUUAUUUGUUUUAUGCCAUCAACUAUCCUAAUAUAUAAGAAUGCUAAAUCUAGUUCUCUCUCAUUUAUUAAGCCCUUUCUAACAGCAGGCUACAGCAGGGAUUAUGCACUAUAUUUAAAUAAUUUUUGCAUUGUAUUACUAUAGGUUCAGUGAUUAGAAACUGUCUGGAAUGCUCAGAAUUUACCAGCCAAGCUAAUGAUGUAGCCACAAAUUGUGAUCAAACAUAAAAGACAGGUAUAUUUGGCUGGCGUACUUGGACAAA